GGAGGAGUGACAGAGUGGUCGAAUGUGGCGGUCUCGAAAACCGUUAUCUCCGUAAGGGGAUCGAGGGUUCGAAUCCUUCCUCCUCCGCCA
rnacentral:tRNA from 1 species